rnacentral:sRNA from 1 species
UACUGUUUCUGUAAAUUGUCUCCUAUGGU